rnacentral:rRNA from 1 species
AUUGAACGCUGGCGGCAUGCUUUACACAUGCAAGUCGAACGGCAGCGGGGAGGAUCUUGCUUCUCUGCCGGCGAGUGGCGAACGGGUGAGUAAUACAUCGGAACGUGUCUAGAAGAGGGGGAUAACCACCCGACAGUGUUGCUAAUACCGCAUAAAUUCUGAGGAAGAAAGCUGGGGACCUAGGAAUAUGCCUAGCGCUUUUUGAGCGGCCGAUGUCGGAUUAGCUAGUUGGUGAGGUAAAGGCUCACCAAGGCGAAGAUCUGUAGCGGGUCUGAGAGGAUGAUCCGCCACACUGGGACUGAGACACGGCCCAGACUCCUACGGGAGGCAGCAGUGGGGAAUAUUGGACAAUGGGGGCAACCCUGAUCCAGCCAUGCCGCGUGUAUGAAGAAGGCCUUAGGGUUGUAAAGUACUUUUGUUAGGGAAGAAAAGUAAGCUGUGAAUACUGGCUGAUACUGACGGUACCUAAAGAAUAAGCACCGGCUAACUACGUG